CAGUCGCCGCGGUAAUACGGAGGGAGCUAGCGUUGUUCGGAAUUACUGGGCGUAAAGCGCGCGUAGGCGGUUACUCAAGUCAGAGGUGAAAGCCCGGGGCUCAACCCCGGAACUGCCUUUGAAACUAGGUGACUAGAAUCUUGGAGAGGUCAGUGGAAUUCCGAGUGUAGAGGUGAAAUUCGUAGAUAUUCGGAAGAACACCAGUGGCGAAGGCGGCUUACUGGCUCAUACUGGACGCUGAGGUGCGAAAGCGUGGGGAGCAAACAGGAUUAGAUACCCCCGUAGUCCCUGUCUCUUAUAC
rnacentral:rRNA from 1 species